CGCUGACGAGCGGCGGACGGGUGAGUAAUACUUAGGAAUCUACCUAGUAGUGGGGGAUAGCUCGGGGAAACUCGAAUUAAUACCGCAUACGACCUACGGGAGAAAGGGGGCAACUUGUUGCUCUCGCUAUUAGAUGAGCCUAAGUCGGAUUAGCUAGAUGGUGGGGUAAAGGCCUACCAUGGCGACGAUCUGUAGCUGGUCUGAGAGGAUGAUCAGCCACACCGGGACUGAGACACGGCCCGGACUCCUACGGGAGGCAGCAGUGGGGAAUAUUGGACAAUGGGGGCAACCCUGAUCCAGCCAUGCCGCGUGUGUGAAGAAGGCCUUUUGGUUGUAAAGCACUUUAAGCAGUGAAGAAGACUCUAUGGUUAAUACCCAUAGACGAUGACAUUAGCUGCAGAAUAAGCACCGGCUAACUCUGUGCCAGCAGCCGCGGUAAUACAGAGGGUGCAAGCGUUAAUCGGAAUUACUGGGCGUAAAGCGAGCGUAGGUGGCUUGAUAAGUCAGAUGUGAAAGCCCCGGGCUUAACCUGGGAACGGCAUCUGAUACUGUUAGGCUAGAGUAGGUGAGAGGAAGGUAGAAUUCCAGGUGUAGCGGUGAAAUGCGUAGAGAUCUGGAGGAAUACCGAUGGCGAAGGCAGCCUUCUGGCAUCAUACUGACACUGAGGUUCGAAAGCGUGGGUAGCAAACAGGAUUAGAUACCCUGGUAGUCCACGCCGUAAACGAUGUCUACUAGUCGUUGGGUCCCUUGAGGACUUAGUGACGCAGCUAACGCAAUAAGUAG
rnacentral:rRNA from 1 species